UACGUAGGGUGCAAGCGUUGUCCGGAAUUAUUGGGCGUAAAGAGCUCGUAGGCGGCUUGUCGCGUCGGCUGUGAAAACCUGGGGCUCAACUCCGGGCCUGCAGUCGAUACGGGCAGACUGGAGUUCGGCAGGGGAGACUGGAAUUCCUGGUGUAGCGGUGAAAUGCGCAGAUAUCAGGAGGAACACCGGUGGCGAAGGCGGGUCUCUGGGCCGAUACUGGCGCUGAGGAGCGAAAGCGUGGGGAGCGAACAGG
rnacentral:rRNA from 1 species